rnacentral:rRNA from 1 species
UACGUAGGGCGCGAGCGUUGUCCGGAAUUAUUGGGCGUAAAGAGCUCGUAGGCGGCUUGUCACGUCGGGUGUGAAAGACCGGGGCUUAACUCCGGUUCUGCAUUCGAUACGGGCUAGCUAGAGUGUGGUAGGGGAGAUCGGAAUUCCUGGUGUAGCGGUGAAAUGCGUAGAUAUCUGGAGGAACACCGGUGGCGAAGGCGGCCCACUGGUCCGGUACUGACGCUGAGGUGCGAAAGCGUGGGGAGCAAACAGG